UGCUAGCUGCGUGGCAGGAGCUGGGGUAAUAGUGAGGGGUGAAGUGUUGUCUGGAUUUAGUGGGCGUGAAGGGCGGUGAGGCGUGUUUGCAAGUCCGUUGUGAAAACUCGAGGCUCAACCUCGGGACGUGUGGGGAAACUUCAAAGCGAGAGUCCGGAAGAGGAGAGUGGAAUUCCUGGUGUAGCGGUGAAAUGCGCAGAUAUCAGGAAGAACACCCGUGGCGAAGGCGGCUCUCUGGGACGGUACUGACGCUGAGACGCGAAAGCGUGGGGAGCGAACAGGAUUAGAUACCCGAGUAGUC
rnacentral:rRNA from 1 species